AUUGAACGCUGGCGGCAGGCCUAACACAUGCAAGUCGAACGGUAACAGGAAGAAGCUUGCUUCUUUGCUGACGAGUGGCGGACGGGUGAGUAAUGUCUGGGAAACUGCCUGAUGGAGGGGGAUAACUACUGGAAACGGUAGCUCAUACCGCAUAACGUCGCAAGACCAAAGAGCGGGACCUUCGGGCCUCUUGCCAUCGGAUGUGCCCAGAUGGGAUUAGCUAGUAGGUGGGGUAACGGCUCACCUAGGCGACGAUCCCUAGCUGGUCUGAGAGGAUGACCAGCCACACUGGAACUGAGACACGGUCCAGACUCCUACGGGAGGCAGCAGUGGGGAAUAUUGCACAAGGGGCGCAAGCCUGAUGCAGCCAUGCCGCGUGUAUGAAGAAGGCCUUCGGGUUGUAAAGUACUUUCAGCGGGGAGGAAGGGAGUAAAGUUAAUACCUUUGCUCAUUGACGUUACCCGCAGAAGAAGCACCGGCUAACUCCGUG
rnacentral:rRNA from 1 species